AUGCACGAGCAAACCCCGGGCUCCUCUGAAAUAUCUUGUGACGAAGGCAGCCCCAUUGCUAUGUGCUAGAUCGAGCUGUGCCGAGUGUUGCAGAUCAACCGAUUUGUACAUCUUUUUCCACGGUUGAUCUGUGUCAAAGCUGCACCCACAACU